AUACGUAGGUGGCAAGCGUUGUCCGGAUUUACUGGGUGUAAAGGGCGUGUAGGCGGAGAUGCAAGUCAGGAGUGAAAUCUAGGGGCUCAACCCCUAAACUGCUUUUGAAACUGUAUCCCUUGAGUAUCGGAGAGGCAGGCGGAAUUCCUAGUGUAGCGGUGAAAUGCGUAGAUAUUAGGAGGAAAACCAGUGGCGAAGGCGGCCUGCUGGACGACAACUGACGCUGAUGCGCGAAAGCGUGGGGAGCAAACAGGAGUAGAUAACCUGGUAGUCCACGCUGUAAACGAUGAAUACUAGGUGUGGGGGGACUGACACCCUCCGUGCCGCAGAUAACACAAUAAGUAUUCCACCUGGGGAGUACGAUCGCAAGAUUGAAACUCAAAUGAAUUGACGGGG
rnacentral:rRNA from 1 species